UCCCUGGCGGUCCAGUGGCUAGGACUCUGCACUCCCACUGCCAAGGUCCCAGGUUCGAUCCCUGGUCAGGGAA